rnacentral:rRNA from 1 species
CUACGGGAGGCAGCAGUGAGGAAUAUUGGACAAUGGAGGCAACUCUGAUCCAGCCAUGCCGCGUGCAGGAAGACUGCCCUAUGGGUUGUAAACUGCUUUUAUACAGGAAGAAACACCUCUACGUGUAGAGAUUUGACGGUACUGUAAGAAUAAGGAUCGGCUAACUCCGUGCCAGCAGCCGCGGUAAUA